rnacentral:lncRNA from 1 species
GAGUUCUACAUACACAUCUUUCUCGAUUUAGUAUUUGGUUACAUGUAAUUUGGGAACCCUGUGCAGUUUUUAGGAUGGUGAUUGCCUGUUUUACGUGUACCGCAGUUUAUGCGACCUCCACACGGCUCCUGGAGAAAACAAACCCAACGCGCGCCCUCGAGUCUGAGUAUCCGCCUCAUGUUAGGAGACCUCAGUUCGCAGAAACUCUUGUUGGCACGACGUCUCGAGCUGGAAAAUCUUUACCUGCUUUGUUACAACGACCCCAUCGAUUGCAAAGUAUCACUGUUGUUGCAAGGAGCCCGACUUCCGGUUCCGAAGAAGAGCCUGCUUUGUUGUCUCCGCAACACUCGACGCGCAAGGGAACAGCACCUUCAGACUUACUGACAGAAACAAGGCAUGCUGACUUCCGUCACUUGAACGCGUACGACAACGGCCUCGCGGACGCACUGGAGGUGACAAUCGCAGCGAGAAACGAACGGAAUUACAGACCGGGAAGCCGCCGACGAUUACCAACAACAGUACCGAGUGUUUCGAGGUUUGCGGGGAGCAAACAAGCUGCUACAGCACAAGCUGCAGUCUCGGAGUUGACUUUGACGCCAGUGAGUGGAAGGCAAGAAUUGCUUCAACUCUUUAUGGACGACGCCUCCGAUAUCCCCCGCGAUACAUGGCGAGAGAUCUUGCUGUUCAGAUUAGGACGCGUGCAAGAAUCGGGUGAAUCUGAUGGUGGGGCCACUCCUUCCACGCGAGUGCGAUCGCCCGUCGAUCGAGCAGACGAAUCUUGAGCGAGCUCGUUCUUUUCUAUUCUACUUCAGCUCUUUUGCGGUUGCUGUCUUCCACUCAGUCAAUCAGCUGCGGUUUCCACUGCGGGCUUUUCCCGCGACUCCCAGA